UUCAUGAAUCAAUUAACAUCAUAUUAUUAUCAAUUAAUCCAUAUUAGUGUUAACAUGAAAAUAGGAAAGGGAUUAGGUUUUGUGUUUACGUGAACAUCAGACUUGUUCUUCUUCUUCAUGAAUCCGCGACGGCGGCAGCGGUGGCAGCCUCAGCUUUCUCCGAUCGAAUAUCGCCCCUCUGGUCAAGCUCUCCCCUCGUGUCAGACUGUCAACUCAAUCUCUCGCUCUCUCCGUACUCUAUUUCAAAGCUCUCUCGACUCUCCCUCAAAAUCUGAACUCAGUUCUCAAACUCUCUCGAUUUCAUCUGUCGCUCUCAUCGUCUCUCAACGAUCUUCUCUUAUUUUGAUGUUGCUAUUAGCGAAGUUGUUGAUUGUAAAUGCGGAUUCGUGAUGCUGAUUGAUGACGAACGUGACGGAUACGCAAGUUUGUGUACGAUUAGAGUAUGAAGAUUGAAGAGAUUAGAUAUUCAAGAGAAAUUUCCGUCGUGAUUCUGCAGAUAGAAGCUUGCAGUUAUGGAGAUCUUUCUGGUUUGUUAUUUUUUGUUGCUAUCGAAUCCCUCUUACUACCGAUUUAUCCGUUGGAUUUCUAGUGAAUGAUUACAUUGAAGGUGAUUGAUGUUCGAGCGAGAUUGAAGAUUGUCGAUUGAAGAAGGUUGAAGGAAAAUUGAAGAAUCGCGUUAAUGGUGAAUGAAGAUGGAGCCAAGGACAAUUCCAGAUUGUUAAGGAUGAAGAAGGUUAUGGAGGAUUCGGUUGUUCAUAUUUUUUGAGUUUGUUACAGUUUCUGAGUCUUUUUUCUGUGCGAUGAGGAUGGAAUCGAAGAGGAUCAAGAUCCAUGAUUGAAGGGGUUUUGAGAUGAUGAAGAUUGGAGAAGAAGCUCUAGAAGGAGGAGAAGUUUGUUACAGUGCAGGGCUACGGUUUUUUGGUUCACCGCUUAAGACAUGUCAUGGUAUUCUCACACAUGGAGCAAAUUUGAAGGUCGAAGAAUUUGAAGAUUAGCAUAGGAAAUGGAUUUUAGGAUGACCACUUACUUAUCUUUUGUAAUUCAAUUUUUGUAAUGAAUUGUAUGCAUUUUUCUUGAAUUUGAAUGGAUAUUUGGAUGUAUGUAUUUUUCUUGAAUUUGAAUGGAUAUUUGGAUGAAUGUGAAUGA